CCUACGGGUGGCAGCAGUGAGGAAUAUUGGUCAAUGGACGAGAGUCUGAACCAGCCAAGUAGCGUGAAGGAUGACUGCCCUAUGGGUUGUAAACUUCUUUUAUAAAGGAAUAAAACGAGGCACGUGUGCCUUUUUGCAUGUACUUUAUGAAUAAGGAUCGGCUAACUCCGUGCCAGCAGCCGCGGUAAUACGGAGGAACCGAGCGUUAUCCGGAUUUAUUGGGUUUAAAGGGAGCGUAGAUGGGUUGUUAAGUCAGUUGUGAAAGGUUGCGGAUCAACCGUAAAAUUGCAAUUGAUACUGGCAGUCUUGAGUACAGUUGAGGUAGGCGGAAUUCGUGGUGUAGCGGUGAAAUGCUUAGAUAUCACGAAGAACCCCGAUUGCGAAGGCAGCUUACUAAACUGUGACUGACAUUGAUGCUCGAAAGUGUGGUUAUCAAACAGGAUUAGAUACCCCAGUAGUC
rnacentral:rRNA from 1 species